UACAGAGGUCCCAAGCGUUGUUCGGAUUCACUGGGCGUAAAGGGUGCGUAGGCGGUCGGGUAAGUCUGAUGUGAAAUCUCACAGCUUAACUGUGAAACUGCAUUGGAUACUAUUCGGCUUGAGAGUUGGAGGGGGGACUGGAAUUCUUGGUGUAGCAGUGAAAUGCGUAGAUAUCAAGAGGAACACCAGUGGCGAAGGCGAGUCCCUGGACAACUUCUGACGCUGAGGCACGCAAGCUAGGGGAGCAAACAGG
rnacentral:rRNA from 1 species